rnacentral:rRNA from 1 species
UUUAUGGAGAGUUUGAUCCUGGCUCAGGAUGAACGCUGGCGGCGUGCCUAAUACAUGCAAGUCGAGCGAACGGACGAGAAGCUUGCUUCUCUGAUGUUAGCGGCGGACGGGUGAGUAACACGUGGAUAACCUACCUAUAAGACUGGGAUAACUUCGGGAAACCGGAGCUAAUACCGGAUAAUAUUUUAAACCGCAUGGUUCAAAAGUGAAAGACGGUCUUGCUGUCACUUAUAGAUGGAUCCGCGCUGCAUUAGCUAGUUGGUAAGGUAACGGCUUACCAAGGCAACGAUGCAUAGCCGACCUGAGAGGGUGAUCGGCCACACUGGAACUGAGACACGGUCCAGACUCCUACGGGAGGCAGCAGUAGGGAAUCUUCCGCAAUGGGCGAAAGCCUGACGGAGCAACGCCGCGUGAGUGAUGAAGGUCUUCGGAUCGUAAAACUCUGUUAUUAGGGAAGAACAUAUGUGUAAGUAACUGUGCACAUCUUGACGGUACCUAAUCAGAAAGCCACGGCUAACUACGUGCCAGCAGCCGCGGUAAUACGUAGGUGGCAAGCGUUAUCCGGAAUUAUUGGGCGUAAAGCGCGCGUAGGCGGUUUUUUAAGUCU